UUACCUGGCCUUGACAUACUAAGAACUUUCCAGAGAUGGAUUGGUGCCUUCGGGAACUUAGAUACAGGUGCUGCAUGGCUGUCGUCAGCUCGUGUCGUGAGAUGUUGGGUUAAGUCCCGCAACGAGCGCAACCUUUUCCUUAUUUGCCAGCGGGUUAAGCCGGGAACUUUAAGGAUACUGCCAGUGACAAACUGGAGGAAGGCGGGGACGACGUCAAGUCAUCAUGGCCCUUACGGCCAGGGCUACACACGUGCUACAAUGGUCGGUACAAAGGGUUGCUACCUCGCGAGAGGAUGCUAAUCUCAAAAAAGCCGAUCGUAGUCCGGAUCGCAGUCUGCAACUCGACUGCGUGAAGUCGGAAUCGCUAGUAAUCGCGGAUCAGAAUGCCGCGGUGAAUACGUUCCCGGGCCUUGUACACACCGCCCGUCACACCAUGGGAGUUUGUUGCACCAGAAGUAGGUAGUCUAACCGCAAGGAGGACGCUUACCACGGUGUGGCCGAUGACUGGGGUGAAGUCGUAACAAGGUAAGCGUAGAUGA
rnacentral:rRNA from 1 species